rnacentral:rRNA from 1 species
GGGUAAGUAGGUUGGUCGUGCCACCGGUACGUACUGGUCUCACUGAUCCCUCCUUCCUGAAGAACCGUAAUGCCAUUAAUUUGGUGUUGCGGGGAAACAGGACUGUUACUUUGAAAAAAUUAGAGUGUUUAAAGCAAGCUAACGCUUGUAUACAUUAGCAUGGAAUAAUGAAAUAGGACGAUCGACCCUAUUUUGUUGGUUUCUAGGAUUGACGUA